AGUGAAACACUCCAACGUAUGCCUUGCUGUUCGUUGGCACAGUGGGGUUGGGCAGGAUGGGGUGAGAUGGGAAGGAAAAACAAAAGCCCGGAGGUCGUUGGGGAGGCGAAGCAGCUCCGACCGCUAAUCGUGGUUGGCAUCAAGCUGAAGGCAGGAGUUUACAUGGCAACCCACAGGAAGGGGGUUGCAGAAAGGAAAUGAGGACACUGCGGUUGCCUCAGGAGAAGCUGUGAGCCCCUGGGGAGCCUGCAGAAGAGCAGGGCUGUGGGACGGGAGACCCUGGACGGAGCAUGGAGCUCACACACCUGAGCACGGUUCUUCUGCUGCUGUUGUUCCCUGGCACCGUGCCAGGCCAGGACAGCUGUGAUGCGCUGUCUCGUGGGGACAAGACCAAGCAGUGCUGCAACAUGGCGGUGGAGCUGGAGGAACGUGGUGAGGGCCGUAGUCUGACCCUGGAGCUGCCCCACCAGUGCAUGGAGC